rnacentral:rRNA from 1 species
GCUCAGGAUGAACGCUAGCUACAGGCUUAACACAUGCAAGUCGAGGGGCAGCAUGGUCUUAGCUUGCUAAGGCUGAUGGCGACCGGCGCACGGGUGAGUAACACGUAUCCAACCUGCCGUCUACUCUUGGCCAGCCUUCUGAAAGGAAGAUUAAUCCAGGAUGGGAUCAUGAGUUCACAUGUCCGCAUGAUUAAAGGUAUUUUCCGGUAGACGAUGGGGAUGCGUUCCAUUAGAUAGUAGGCGGGGUAACGGCCCACCUAGUCAACGAUGGAUAGGGGUUCUGAGAGGAAGGUCCCCCACAUUGGAACUGAGACACGGUCCAAACUCCUACGGGAGGCAGCAGUGAGGAAUAUUGGUCAAUGGGCGAUGGCCUGAACCAGCC